GAAAAGAAACUAACCAGGAUUCCCUUGGUAGNGGCGAACGACCUGGAAUUAGCCCAGCACCGAAUCCUGUAUCUUUGGUAUUAGGAAUUGUGGUGUAAAGGUUGUGUCUUUAGUUGCUGAGAAUACUCCAAAUUCACUUGAUUGUGAUGUUGUCCAGAGAGGGUGUUAGACCCGUUGGGGUAUACAAAGUAAUUAUUGAUGCUUCCUAUGAGUCGGAUUGUUUGAGAAUGCAGUCCAAAUUUGGUGGUAAACUCCAUCUAAGGCUAAAUACUUGUGUGAGUCCGAUAGCAAACAAGUACCGUGAGGGAAAGUUGAAAAGAACUCUGAAGAGAGAGUUAAAUAGUACGUGAAAUCGCUUAGAGGUAAACGAGUGGAGCCGAAGGAGUUGUAUAGAAUUCAGUCGAUUAUGUUUUGUACGUAAAUUAACAACAUUUUUAUGGGAGUUGUUGGUAUACAUUUUACGGAAUGUGAUUGAUGCAUUUUCUAUAUAACUAAACUGCGACCAAUAGUGUUGAUUUUCUGUCGUAAUUGUGAAGGUGAUCAAUUUUUCGGAAUUGGUUUUAUAGCUAUUUACAUGGUUAAUCAAUGUAUAGUUAAACGCGGUUGGCUAAUUUUGAUAGUUUUUGAUUUGGAUUGCUUAUUUUUAGACUAUAAAUAGACUAUUUUUAAGCAGUUUAAGUCUUUUAUUGUUGAAGGGUCAACCUAAAGUCUGCAGUCAUUAUGUAGGUUACCUACUUGUCCCGUCUUGAAACACGGACCAAGGAGUUUUAUAUGAUCGCGAGUCAAAGGGCUUUACGAAACCCCAGGGCGUAAUUAAUGUAAAGAUUCACUUUAGUGAAUUGCAAUGUGACCUCGCUGUAAAAAGCUUGUGCAACAUUGACCCGUCUAAAGAUGUUCGCAUCUGGACGGAGUUUGAGCGAUCAUGUAGAGACCCGAAAGAUGGUGAACUAUGCUUGUGCAGGUUGAAGUCAGAGGAAACCCUGAUGGAAGACCGCCGCGGUUCUGACGUGCAAAUCGAUCGUCGGACAUGAGUAUAGGGGCGAAAGACCAAUCGAGUCCAUUGNUGCAGNUNGUU
rnacentral:rRNA from 1 species